CUGCCAGUAGUCAUAUGCUUGUCUCAAAGAUUAAGCCAUGCAUGUCUCAGUACAAGCCAAAUUAAGGUGAAACCGCGAAAGGCUCAUUAAAUCAGUUAUGGUUCCUUAGAUCGUACCCACAAUUACUUGGAUAACUGUGGUAAUUCUAGAGCUAAUACAUGCAAACAGAGCUCCGACCGGAGACGGAAGGAGUGCUUUUAUUAGAUCAAAACCAAUCGGUGGCGAGUUCGCUCGUCAUCGUACAACUUGGUGACUCUGAAUAACUUUACGCUGAUCGCACGGUCUCGCACCGGCGACGCAUCUUUCAAAUGUCUGCCUUAUCAACUGUCGAUGGUAGGUUCUGCGCCUACCAUGGUUGUAACGGGUAACGGGGAAUCAGGGUUCGAUUCCGGAGAGGGAGCCUGAGAAACGGCUACCACAUCCAAGGAAGGCAGCAGGCGCGCAAAUUACCCACUCCCG
rnacentral:rRNA from 1 species